AUGUUGUUAACCCUAUUUCCAGACAAAGCUGGAGGUAAAAACAACAGCAGGAGGGACACAGACCAGCCUUGCAAUCAGAGUGUUCAGAGAGAGACAGAGGACAGAAGAAUUUUGGGUCUGAGAUUUGCCAGACAGAUCCUCACUCUGCAUUUGGAAUCUGACACCCCAGGAGCUUUGUAUUUUCCCUGAGUCCAUCUGCUGUCAGGAGGAGUUUCAGCUUGUGUUUGGGCUUGCAUAUUAGGGCAUGUGGAGAAACAAAUUAGCAGGUAAGAAAUUGCCAUUCUUCUGACUCAUUUCUUUUUUUUCCUUUUUUUUUCCUUUCCCAGUAAGGGGCAAAAAGGUAAGUGGCAGCACAUGGCUUAUAGCUGCCUUAUUAUAACCACCUUCCCAUGUGGCCGGUUGAGAAGCUAACUAAUAGUUCUGAUACUAGCUAAUCUAGCAAAAAGAUUCCAAUGGGUGGAGGUGAGAGUAACAUCUGCCUUUUAUAUCCUACUCUUGCCAAUGCAGGCAUGUGAGGUUUUUUGUUGUUCCAAGAACCUCUGAAGCAUAGCAAAGGUAAAGGUCCUAUGAAUUGGAACCACCUGCUUGAACUAAUGUUUUGGCAAGCUCCUGUUUUCCUGGAGCUGGUUCAGAGUGUUCUGGGCUAUGUAGAAUGAGAAAAAUCCACAAAAAAUUACUUAUACCCUCUAACCAUUCUCUGUGCUAUUGUGUUCGGACUGAAAAUGUGUAAUGAACAAAUGUAGUAAGCGUGAAGCACAUAGUGGGCUUGUAUGACCACAUCCCUUACUGUAUGGUCUAUUGUAUGGUCUGACAGUAAAUACAGAGCUUAGAGAUAUAGGGGCAAACAGCUUUCAAAACUAAUGCUACAUGUAGCACAGGAGAUUCAUUAGCUGCUUUCUUGAACCCUCUAUUUGACAUUGUUAGAAGUUUCAAUAUUUGUGUUGGAGUAGAUGGACUGAAAACCACUGACAGAUUCUAAGAGCCCCUACUGUACUUCUGUUUGUGUAUACAGCUUGUAUGUCCCUCACACCAUACCACUUUUGUGUAAGGGGCUUCUUUUUAAACCCAAGACUUUUUAUGACCUUUGCAAAAUAGCCCUCGCUGCAGGGUCGAUGGCUUAUCCUUUAGAGGAAAGACAGCAACAGGAUGUCCACAGAUAUUUGUCAAUUCAUGUUUAAAAUGGCAAAUAUAUGACAACUACACAUUUUAUAUAUGUGUUUUUUCCAAACUGGAUAAAACAUAAAUAAAUAUGUACCACACACAAAAUCA
rnacentral:lncRNA from 1 species